UUUUUUCUCAGAAAAAAGAAAGUAUGUAACUGAUCAUCUUUAUCAAUUUGUUCUUUUGUUUUUUUGACCUAGUGGCUGUGAUCCUGUCUUUAUUGGGUAACUUUGAUAAUGGUCCUACCACGAAUCGAACCUGUAAUAGAGUGAAUUUUGUGAUGAAUUAUAUAGUGUGAUAGUGUCUAGAUGCAGUUAUGAAUCUGUACUUGCAUAAACUAAUUAGCUAAGAUUUGUUAUAUUUUUCAAAAUUAAUGAUAUAUUGAACAGAACUAUCCGUAAAUACAAAUUUUGUUUGCGUAUAUGUACGUAGAAAUUAGAAUCAUCUAGGCAUGCUUACAUAGGCUCCUUGGAUUGAGCGGUACGGGAUAUGUGGUAGGUGCAGUUCUAACGGUUAUAAAAACGUAUAGAUAUAUGGUAUAUAUAAAAAAAUUUGUUACUGUUAACAGUGCUGGGUGGAUUAAAACAUUUAAAGCCAUAAUUUUUUUUUUUUAGUAUAUUCGUUAAAAAACUGACAAGCGUCUUAGAAUUUGAAUGUAAGAUUUUUGUCGAAACACAUGGUUUGCGUCAUUAACCAAUAAAAAAGCACAUGAUUUAAAUUUUUUGUUGUUGUCCAAACAAAAAAUACUCGUCACAUGCAAAUGGAUUGGUCAAACACAUGCUUGGUUCUCCCUAGUGAAAAUUAAGAAUAGAAGUAAACUAACAUACAUCAUAAUUGCAAGAACAACUUAUUUUAUAGUUAUAAAUAGCAUAUAAGUAAUAUGCCUAAUUGUUUUCUCUAACCACCGUUUUAAAAAGUCAAAACAUCAAUUGCCGCGUAUACUAUUAGACCAAUAGUUCGAGUCUUAAAAUACUCUUGAAAAUAGAGUAGGAUAUAAUAUAUCUUACGUGACUGCGCGUACGUGGUUAAUCAAUUUUGUCACGAAUUGAAAUGAGUUGUCACAUUGAAUAUAUGGUUGCAUGCAAUAGUAAACGCAUUGUUAGAGAGCUUUGAAGUUUUCAUUGAAAAAAGCCGUGUACGUUAUCUGUUGCGUUAGAGUAAUGAGCCAAUUCGAGAUUACUUGUAAGCAAAGCUAGAAACUUCAUAUCCAUAUUUAAAUGUCUUACGCUCACCGGUAUAUCCUAGCAUUUCAAAUCUAUGCCAUAUUUUCAUAUCUAGUUUGAUAAAGACAGACUUUGAUUGCUUUUCCAGGAAAUAAGAAGAUCGAUCAUGAAACCAUCAACAACCUUUAAAAGUUUUUAAAACUUGUUACGCUACAUGAAUAUGUAUCAAAUGUUUGGAGUGUGCGCAUAUUGAAAGACGAUGACUUGUUGAGUGGCUCUUAUCAUCUCUUGGCACAUGCAUUGAUAAAAGUCAAUGGUCGAGUAACAAGCUUACAUGUGUAAUGAGUUGAAAUGUCGUAGCAGUAAAGUUUGUACAAAUUACGUAGUAUUUUGUCACUGCUAGUGAUUGGUUUCUCAGGAACAGAGCCGAAGCUGAGUUUUACGGGACCAUAGCUAUUUUUUUUUUUUUGUUUUGGUUAACCUGGGGGUGUCCCAGACCUCCGGAGAAGCCCAGACUAAUCCCGUCUUCGCCUGGCGUCAAAUCUGUGAGCAUGACAAUUAGCCCCCAAGGUCCUUACCAAGCGGGCUACUUCAUCCCGUCUGACCAUAGCUAUUUUAGGUGAAUUUUAGUAAAAGAUUUUGUUUGACAAUUUAGGAAUCAUGCGAAUUAUGUAUAAUAUUUUUAAAAAAUUAUGGAAUAAUGCGAAUGUUUUAUCUGGAUGUA